rnacentral:ncRNA from 1 species
GAAAAGAUAAUGAUAAGAAGAGUACGCCUUGUGGAAUUAUACAGAGAGUCGAGAAUGGUGAGAAUCGAUUUUGAAAACAGGUGGAAGAUGGUCUUUGAAUCGAUCGGAUGAAAUCUGAGUAGUUCGAUACGCGUGACGCGUUAAAGUGAGAUGUAUGCAAAUACACGAUGAGGUGCAGUCUGAUAAGUCUGCAUAAAAAAAGGUGGUAACACGUAAGUUGACUUUCGUCCUUUGG